GGACUCCCUGACUGUUCUAAGUUGUUGGAUAAAACAAAGAAUAAGACAAGAUAAUUGCAUUUUCCAUUUGGGAGAAGAACAAAAAGAAAAAAGGAUCACGCAUAUCUUCUUAUCAUCUCUGAACACAGAUCCAGAUUCCUGGACCCCUUACAGAUACCUCUCACCUAUAGCCACCAGUACAGGAAAAAUGCAGUCAGAUGCAAGGGAGCUCCUGGUUAGGGCCCAGCACAGCUGAAAGUAAUCUAGACUGUUCCUGAGACUGUUCUAAAUCAAGUUCUGGGCAAAACCAGCUCGAGAAUCAGCACAAUGCAAAAGUUGGUGAAAAAGCCUGCAGUGAAUACAGCUCAGUUGGCUGGCAGGGACUGUUGAAGUUCUACAGUCCAGAGAUGCAUUUGGGAAGGUCCAUAUAGAACCUCAGCUGCCCUUCAGCAAAUGGACAUCUUGGUGCCUUCUUCCACAGUCAAAACUGUUCUGGAAGAACAUUGGAGAUAUGGGGAGGGAAAUAACAGGACACCAGUUUUCAGGUAACCACUUUGUUUUCUUACUGAACCUUCCCAAGACCUCUGGAACACGUGAGGGUCAGAAGUCUAGUCAUUGCAAAAAUUAUUAUUGCAAAAGCCUGGAUGAGAAGUGACACCUUCUAAAAUCACUGACUGGUUUAAAAAAAUUGAGAAGUUUUAGUAAUGGAAAAAUUGUCCCAUUGAGUUACUGUUCUAUUCAAGAGAAGGAAAAAAAUGCCUAUUUAGAAAUUUG
rnacentral:lncRNA from 1 species